UUCAUUUUCGUAUCGAGUGCAGGCGGGUGCGAACUACGGGGGAACUGAGCUCGGCUCCCCUUAAUAAGACAUGGGCUCCCCUGAAAACGUGAUAUGUGAAAUUGUGGAGCCUAUCUCAUCGUGUACGUGAGAUGUGAUGUGAGUGGCAAAGGAGAUAUAGAAAAUGUUUUUUAGACAUUGUAGGGCUGACGCAGGGCACAAAUGCAGAGUCCAUUUACAACAGGUUUGGGGCUUCAGUUCUCACUGGCAAAUCCACUGGAGUCAGUGCAAGGCUUAAGCGUGACUUUCCAAAGUUACAUUGCUUGGCUCAUCGCCUUGAAUUGGCUGUCCAUGAUUCUUUGAAAGUGGUUGCUGGAUGUAAUCAUUUCGAGUUUUUCAUUGCCAAGCUGUAGGCUAUUCUCUGUACCACCAGUCUGCAAAGAACGUGAGAUUGCUUGAGGAAGCAGCUGCAGAUUUUGAUAAUAGGACAGAUAUUCACCAUCAGAUGGGUGGCGAGUAGCCACAAUACUGUAAAGGCGGUCUGGAAUAACUACCCUGCUUUAGCGCGCCAUUUCAAAAUUGCAAGUGAGGUUGCAUCUCGCAACGGCGCUAUAGGCUACAAACACCUCACAAACUCAGGGUUUUUACUUGAUUUGGCUUGCAUGAAAGACAUUAUCCGUGAGCUGCAGGGCCUGUCACUGAAAUGUCAGCAAAGAAAUAUCACUCAAGUUGAUGCCAGUUGCCACAUUCUACAGUGUAUAUAGGGUGACCAUAUUUUGAUUACCAAAAACCAGGACACUCGGCCCAGCAAACACAUGGGCCAACUCAAAUACUCGAAGGUUACACAAAGAUACCUUAUUCAUUUCAAUACAUUUAAAGUAUGUUAUGCCUCCUCUGUAUGGAUAGAAAAUUGUUAUAUGAAAACAGGACAUGUCCUGGGAAAACAGGACAGUUGGUCACCCUAGGUUAUACUGAAAGCAAUGAAAUCGAGUGGAGGGAAAUCCACACAGAAGGCCGAACAGCGCACGUCUCUCUGGGGCUGUUUAAAAAUGUUCAACUAGUUGCGGCGGGCACAGGCAAGAUUAAUCGAAAUCAGCUUUAUCAAUCUGUGAUCGACAAUCUCACAUGGCGAAUGCCAGAAUCAGACCUCAUACAAAUGCUAAAACCCAUGAACAAGCGCUUUUGGCCACGGGAGCGGAAUGCAUUGAUCCUGUAUGGAGAAAACGAGGUACGUGCACUUGCUAAAAUGCUUGGAGAACCAGCCAGAGAGGUGUUUGAGGAGUUCCGCGACUGGAAAUUACAAGACAGAGCACCAGGCAGAAAUCUGGAAAAGAUUUGUACAGCGAGUAGAACAUGCCUUCCUACUUCAGCUGAGUGUGAGAGGGGAUUUUCUACCGUCAAUGAUACUAACAGCGCAAUAGGUUGCGUGAAAACAGCCUCUCAUUGUCGCUCCUUUUUCUGGACAUUAAUGGACUCCCAUUGGAGUUUCAACCCAAUGCCCCUUAUCACAUCUUGGAUUAAGGAAGGUCAUCGCCCAUCCACUUCUUGGACAUCUGGACGAGCAGCAAAGGAAGCUGACCCCAUGCCUCUGUGGUUGAUUUUGAGUUAAGAUCCCUGUAGAAAGAGGUUCCAGACUGCUGAUCCCUUCACCUGUAACAGCAUGUCUCCAGGCUCAAUCCUGCCAUCCGCCGCCACUGCUCCGCCUUUCAUGAUGGAGCCAAUAUAGAUGCCUCCAUCUCCUCUGUCAUUACUCUGACCAACUAUACUGAUACCCAGGAAGUUGUACUUCUCUGUGAGAAAGAGAGAUACAGCUGUUUUCAGAGACAGGGACGAAGUUGUGUUUCUGGGUGACAUCUGAUGCGCGGAAAAGGCCUGACCAAACGAUAAGACCGCUGUGGACCCCGAGUGCGACCAAAGCAUUCCAGUAUUGCAGAGGACAAUUGUAUCACCUCAACGAUUCAGGGUACAAGCAGAGGCCUGUGGCAAGAUGAGCUGUCCGGCUGCAGCUGUGUGAAACAGCCUAUCAGGAGCCCUUUCUCAGAGUGGAUCAU